rnacentral:rRNA from 1 species
GACGAACGCUGGCGGCGUGCUUAACACAUGCAAGUCGAACGGUAAGGCCCUUCGGGGUACACGAGUGGCGAACGGGUGAGUAACACGUGGGUGAUCUGCCCUGCACUUCGGGAUAAGCCUGGGAAACUGGGUCUAAUGCCGGAUAGGACCACUGCCUGCAUGGGUGGUGGUGGCAAGCUUUUGCGGUGUGGGAUGGGCCCGCGGCCUAUCAGCGUGUUGGUGGGGUGAUGGCGUACCAAGGCGACGACGGGUAGCCGGCCUGAGAGGGUGACCGGCCACACUGGGACUGAGAUACGGCCCAGACUCCUACGGGAGGCAGCAGUGGGGAAUAUUGCACAAUGGGCGCAAGCCUGAUGCAGCGACGCCGCGUGAGGGAUGACGGCCUUCGGGUUGUAAACCUCUUUCAGCACCGGCGAUGCGCAAGUGACGGUAGGUGCAGAAGAAGGACCGGCCAACUACGUGCCAGCAGCCGCAGUAAAAC